AUGUACUGUGUGUUUUGUGUUGCCCGCAUAGCAGUGAAAGUUGACAUUGUGUCUCUACAGUCUACAGUUCCACUGACUGUUCCCAGGAGCACAACAACAACAACAACAACAACAACAACAACAACAACAAUAACAACAGCAACAACUACAACAUCAACAACAGCAACAACAGCAAGAACAACUACAACAACUAUAACUACAACAACAGCAAGAACAACUACAACAACUACAACUACAACAACAACAAGAACAACUACAACAACAAGAACAACUACAACAACUACAACAACAACAAGAACAACAGCAACAACAGCAAGAACAACAGCAACAACAGCAAGAACAACAGCAAGAACAACAACAAGAACAAGAACAACAACAACUACAACAACUACAACUACAACAAGAACAAGAACAACAGCAACAACAGCAAGAACAACAGCAACAACAGCAAGAACAACAGCAAGAACAACAACAAGAACAACUACAACAACAACAAGAACAACUACAACAACUACAACAACAACAAGAACAACUACAACAACUACAACUACAACAACAACAAGAACAACAACAACAAGAACAACAACUACAACUACAACAACAAGAACAACUACAACAACUACAACAACAACAACAACAAGAACAACAGCAACAACAGCAAGAACAGCAAGAACAACUACAAGAACUACAACAACAACAACAAGAACAACUACAACAACUACAACUACAACAACAACAAGAACAACAGCAACAACAGCAACAACAGCAAGAACAACUACAACAACUAUAACUACAACAACAGCAAGAACAACUACAACAACUACAACUACAACAACAACAAGAACAACUACAACAACAAUAACAACUACAACAACUACAACAACAACAAGAACAACAGCAAGAACAACAGCAACAACAGCAAGAACAACAGCAAGAACAACAACAAGAACAAGAACAACAACAACAACAACUACAACAACUACAACUACAACAACAACAAGAACAACAGCAACAACAGCAAGAACAACAGCAACAACAGCAAGAACAACAGCAAGAACAACAACAAGAACAACUACAACAACAACAAGAACAACUACAACAACUACAACUACAACAACAACAAGAACAACUACAACAACUACAACUACAACAACAACAAGAACAACAACAACAAGAACAACUACAACAACAAGAACAACAACUACAACUACAAGAACAACUACAACAACUACAACAACAACAACAAGAACAACUACAACAACUACAACUACAACAACAACAAGAACAACAGCAACAACAGCAAGAACAACAGACCAACAACAAGAACAACAACAAGUACAACUACAACAACUACAACUACAACAACAACAAGAACAACUACAACAACAACUACAACAACAGCAACACAACUACAACAUCUAA
rnacentral:lncRNA from 1 species